GGAUGUAAGGUGAUGUGGCUCUGUCUGUCACUCCUUUGUCUGUCUGUCACUCCGUUGUUGUGAGGGUUGACCUGCUGAGCUGGCUGGCAAGGGAAGCAGCCUCCCCUUCCCUCACAGCUCCAUGUCCACCACAGCAGAGUUGAGCAACACGGGACUGUUCUCCUGGGAAGAGAUAAAGUAGCUACGUUCCUUGCCUAGAACCCCCAACACAUUCUCACAGUGCAGGUUUGCUUUGCUGGGGCGGUUUAGCCAGGUGAAUUAUUGUUGCCUCAUUUUCUAUUUUGUUUUGAGAUAGGGUCUCUCUAUGUAGCCUAGGCUGUCCUAGAAC
rnacentral:sRNA from 1 species